UACAGAGGGGGCAAGCGUUGUUCGGAAUUACUGGGCGUAAAGGGCGCGUAGGCGGCCUUCUAAGUCGAACGUGAAAUCCCCGGGCUCAACCCGGGAACUGCGUCCGAUACUGGAAGGCUUGAAUCCGGGAGAGGGAUGCGGAAUUCCAGGUGUAGCGGUGAAAUGCGUAGAUAUCUGGAGGAACACCGGUGGCGAAGGCGGCAUCCUGGACCGGCAUUGACGCUGAGGCGCGAAACGUGGGGACAACAGGGAUUAAGAAACCCCAGGUACAGUCCAGA
rnacentral:rRNA from 1 species